rnacentral:rRNA from 1 species
UAUAUGAUAUAGAUAAAUAUUUAUAUAUUUAAUAUAAAAAAGUAUACAAAGAGAUUAUUAUGGAUCCCUAAGCUAUGUAUUAAAGAGCAACAAGACAAUCAAAAAAGAAUAAAUUAUAUCAUUUAAAAUUUAUUCUAUAUGGUAAACUCUUAGAGAAAUUAAAUAAUAAACGAAGGCGAAUUGAAAUAUCUUAGUAGCUUCAGGAAAAGAAAUCAAACGAGAUUCUAUGAUUAGUGUGAACGAAAGUAGAUUAGCCUAUAUACUAUAAAGUAUAUUAAUAAGUAAAAUGGACGCAAAUCUGUUUGAAGAUUAAGGGGAACCUUCCUCUAAGGCUAAAUAUAAUACAUAAGCGACAGUGAAAAGUACCGUGAGGGAACGGGAAUUGAAAUAGUAAUUUUAUAAGCAGCUCGAACUAAAAUGAGAGCGUACCUUUUGCAUAAUGGGUCACCAAGUUAACCUUAGAUGCGAGCUAAUCGCGUAGUUAAAACGAUGAUCAAUCAAAUGAAUUAGUGUCUAAAGUUAGACCCGAAGCUAGGUGAUCUUACUACAAUCAGGAGUAUAAAAGUCCGAACCGGUUAUUGUAGCAAAAAUAUCGGAGGAAUUGUGGUAAGUAUAGUGAAAGACAAAACUGACCUAGAUAGCUGGUUUUCUGCGAAACCUAUAAUAGUAGGCAAUUUAAGUAACAUUUUAGCAGGUACAGAACUUCAUCUCAGACAAGGUGUAUUAAAUUUGAUUAAAAGUUUUAGUUGGUUUUUUGCCGGGAACUUUUAGUUAAAUCGACAUCUUACUUUGUACAUAUCGGGGGAUCGUAGAGAUUUUAUCGGUGAGUUUGUAGACUCGAAAUGGCAAAAAUGAAUCUUAAAUUAUCAGACAUAGAAUGAUAAGGUUGUAUGUCAAAAGGGAAACAGCCCAGAACAAGAGUUAAGGUUCCGAAAUUAUUGUUAAGUGAAAUUAAGAAAGUUUUUAUUUAAGUCGACAAGGAGAUGGGCUUAGAAGCAGCCAUAAUUCAAAGACCUCGUAACAGAGCGCUUGUUAAUUUUUAAAGGCAUCGAAAAUUUAACGGAUCUAAACAAUAUACCGAUACCUUGUCCAUAACUGAUUAUAAAUUUAAAUUAUAAGGCGAUAAGCUUUUAAUUAUAAUCUUUUACUGGGGUAGCAGAACAUUGGGUAAACCUGCAGCAUUCCAUCGUUUUUUACGAUGGAUGCGACUCCAUUGGAGAUGAUGAUAAUUAUAUCAUCACAGCAAACUCAAGAGAGAAUGGUGACAUGAGUAACAAAAAAGAAGUUCGAACAUAAGUUCGAACACUCGCCUAAAGCUUAUGGUUUAAUUAAAGUAACGGCCUCUAAGUUUUCACUUCCAAAGGUUGAAACGAUGAGAAAAUCUUAUUACUUACAUGACAACAUUUUUAAAGUGAAAAGUGUGCAGGAAAAAUUAAGUAAUAUAUCUUUAUAUAUAGUCAUUUCUUAUGUAAAGAUGAAAAAAAACCGUACCUAGAAACUGUGACAAGUAAGCUAGUGUAGUAUACGAAGGCGUAAAUGAGCUAACAAUCAUAAAGGAACUCGGCAAACUAACUUCCGUAACUUAGGGAUAAGGAGGGCUCAUUCGUCCCGUGGGAUCUUUUAUUAUUACGGUAAUAAAGACUACGGGUAAGAAGGAAGAAGCAUGAAAUAUUGUUGUACGACUGUUUAAUUAAAACAAAGCACUUUGCAUACGACUUAAGUCUAAGUAUAGAGUGUGAUUUCUGCCCGGUGCCGGCUGGUUAACGAAAAUAACUAACUUUAAAAAGUUUGGUACUGUAGGAACCCCCGGUUAAUGGCGGCCUUAGCGUGAGGGUCCUAAGGUAGCGGAAUACCUUGACUGUUAAAUGCAGUCUUUGCAUGAAUGAUGUAACGAUACAACAGCUGUCUCUAUGAUUGACUCAGUGAAAUUGGCAUAACUGUGCAGAUACAGUUUACCUCUAGUUAGACGAGAAGACCCUAUGCAGCUUUACUGUUACUAAUUAUUAGGUACGGUUGGGGACAACUAUCAGCAAAUAAGGUAAUUGAUAAGAUACAAAUGUAAUACCUUUAUUUGGGGAUCGUAUUGUGAGGAUUAUUUAAUCCCCGUCUUUUCUGUAAAAAGGAAAAGAAUGUAACCUUAGAAAGGAAAAAUUGCUAGGAGACAGUUUAUGCGGGGCACAGACCCCACAAAGAGUAAAUGGGUGUGUCCAACUAUGUUUUAUGUUUAUUUAAGCGUUUAUCGCCAAUAGAUGUAUCACUAAAUAAAAUAUUAGUUUUGCUAAGGCAAAGCCCAAGCUUCAGCCACCUUAAAUGGCGGCCGAAGCUAAUAUUUGUUUGUUUGUAAUAGUAGAUAGCACGGCUAUACAGCUAGCUAUAUUCUAUCUUAUUUAUGUAUAGAUGUACAAGCCUAAAUAUAAGAGUUUCUUAUAUUUAAUAAUUCUUGCUUUUCUGUAAAUAGAUGCUGUUGUUUCAGUAUAGAUUUGCAGGGUAUUAAGGAGGAGAAUUUUUUUUUUUUAGGUAGGAUUUAAACUAUUGAGAAAUUAGUCGUAGUUAAGAUGUUACGAAAAGUUUUUUCUAACAUCUUAUUAAUUAUUAUAUAAGGCUUUGAAUAGCAGCACAUAUAAUAGAUUAUGUAAGAUACUUAUCAAGUUUAAUGGCUAAAUCUUGCCUUACUGUUUGACCACCAACAAGUCUUACAGUCGCGUAAGCGGGGCAUAGGAUCACAAGACACAACAAGGAAAGGUCUUGGAUUUUUGGAAAAGCUACGCUAGGGAUAACAGGCUAAUUUGCGCAAGAGUGUGCAAAAUGAGUGCGCGGUUUGGCACCUCGAUGUCGGCUUAACUUAUCCUCAUGGAUGCAGAAACUAUGUAGGGUACGACUGUUCGUCGAUUAAAAAGUUACAUGAGCUGGGUUAAAUACGUCGUGAGACAGUAUGGUUUCUAUCUUCUAGAGGGAAUUAGAAUAUAAUAAGGAAUAACCUAUGUACGAAAGGAACUUGGAAUAUUAAUUUAUUAAUAUUGAAAUAAUAGAAUUAUUAAUCUCUGGUUUACCUGUUGUUUAUAUGUCCUAAUUUAUAGGACUAUCCUACUUUCACUUAAGUAGUUAUGAUAAUAUAGGCACGGCAGGAAAGCUAUGUUAGUCAAAGAUAAGUGCUGAAAGCAUAUAGGCACGAAGCUUACCUUAAGAUAUUUCUUAAAUAUACGUAAUAGAACAUUACAAACAUAAUAUAAAGAUAGGUUAGCCCUCUUUUUAUUAUGAAGAUAGGCUUUAUUUGUAAGAAUCAAGAGAUUUUAAGGA